ACAGUUGCUGCAUAAUUCAUUUUUGGUGGAUUGUUGAUCCCAGCUGCUUGAAAACUUUGCUCUCCAACAACCAAAGGCUGGGGAGAGGUCAACGCAGCCAUGGUUGUCUUAAUCAUACAUGAGCAAGCUCAAAUUGCCAGAGUUUCUGUGAUGAACAGUAACUCGUAUUCACUGCUACCUGGUUUUUCAGAUAACACCCAAAAACCAAUGGAUUAUGCGAAAGUACAUGCGAAAAUUCAUUUACAACUUUUUUUUUAUUUUCAAAACAAAAACAGGAAAUAUGAUAAUGAGAGACUCAACUCAACUAACUACGACAAACUCCUACACCAACUAAAAGAAUCAUUGCUACUGGACAUAACUAAAAUGUACAAGACAGCAUAAAAAAGAAACAGACUCAAAAUAUAAAAAAUUUCUCCUUAAACAACUCCUGGAUACAAUGGUCCUGACCAGACGGUCCUGGGGUAUUUGUCAUGCUCAAACUCCAGUAAGUAGAUUCACACAUGUAUAAAAAAACUAACGACAAAUAGAGUUAAGGAUAGAGAAAAUCAUGUGAGACAAUAACACUCCCAGUUGGACACAUGCAAGACAUGAUUGUGACUAUUUUUCUAAAAUUAAUCUAUGUGGCUAAAAGUGGCUAAAAAUGCAAGAUUUGGCAAAGACCCCGCGAAUCCAAGAACCUAAGACUUACUAGGAAGACAGAACCUUAUGUGGGUUGCCUACAUAUCCCGCCCAGAGAGACGAGAAUCAGGUUCGCGUAGUUCGAGAAGAUUGGAUACGGUCGAGAAUUAAAAAAACAACUAAUUUAGAGAAAACAUAUUUUUGUCUUUUUUUUCUGAAAAAUGAAAACUCUUUUUUGAUUUCCGUUUCCCUUUUUUUUUUCUUUAUUUUCGAAAAAUGAUGAAAAAGUUCAAACUCUUUAUGGAUUUUCAUUUUUUUUGUCUUUUUCUUAAAAGUAUAAAUAUAAUUUGGCCAAAAUUGCUUUAUUUUUACACCUCAACCUCUUUUUUUUCACAUUUACCGUCAAAACUCAUUGGUCCGCCAAUUGACCCAUUUUACCCUUGAAAAAUGUAACAUAUGGCACAUAAUAUGCAUUAAGAUGGUCUUUUAUUUUUGGGUACACCUAUCCUAGACGGACCCAACCCCUGCGUUGAGUCCCCUAUGUCAAAUGUACGUGAUGCAAACAAACAUUCCUACUAGGAAUCCGACAUGAGGUUAUGUUAUUCUAUGUUUAAACCUGGGGUUGUAUUCUUGACCUGGCUUAUCCGAGCAGACAAUUCGAGCCGAAGAGGGAGAAAUGUACCGGGAGCACGAAAGUCUACCCGGCCUUGUUGCUAGCCCAGCCUUGUUCUAUUUGGUAUAACUUCUAACAGAAAAGUGGGCCACGCGAACGUGUAUACCAUUUUUAGAAGAUUCAUAGGGGUGGCGUAAGAAGGCAUUUUAAUACAAUUCAAACAAUAUCAAAGCGGUAAAUAAACGGCAAUUAGCAUAUUAGGUCCACAAAAUACAGCAAUAUCAACAAUAAAUAAAGCCAAAUAAAAUCAUAUUAAAAAGCUCUAAUUCUUAUACCCUGAACCAAAGAUUUUGGGUUCGAUCCCCAGCAGAGUCGCCAGAGCUAUCAUACCUCCUUUUUUACUACCCCCGGAAGGGUAGUAUAAGAGGGGUUUUUCAAUUUAAGUGACAAUCGAAUCGGAAUUAUUUAAUAAAUUCAGAGUCACCACUUUGGAUAAUUUAUGGUGUCCGAAGUCACCGGUUAAAAUCCCAAAUCGAGCAAGUUGACUCUAUUUAUGGUCUGCGAACACAGAAAUCCGGGUAAGGAAUUCUAUUAACCCGGGAGAAGGUGUUAGGCAUUCCCAAGUUCCGUGGUUUUAGCACGGACGCUUUGAUCAUACUUGGCUUAAUCAAGUUGUCUAAUUACUCAUUUUAGAACCUAUGUGCAUUUGCCUUUUUUAAUUAAGAAGUUAUCUUAAAACAGGUCACGCGUACGUGUACCCAAAUAGAGGGGUAGGAAUAUGAAGUUUAACGAUGGAAUGCAAGCUAAACGAGGCAGCAAUAAAAUAGAGGGGCUUACUGCCUUGGCUUCAGACUGGUCGAUGGAGGACCUCGAGGUCGAUACCUAGGAUCGAUCUCGAGCUAUCGGGGGUAGUCAGGAAUGGGAUAACAAUUAAGAUACAAUCAAAUAAAUCUCUUCAUGGACAACACCAAGCAAUAAAUGAAGAACAAAUGGGAGAAAAGUGAAUGAUAAAGUGGCCUCGAGCCAGUAAGAACAAGCGAGUUAGAGAGAAAAAUGAGAGAGAGAGAGAUAUUAUUGAUCUUGGGGAGAAAUAGUUUGAGCAACAUCAGCCCUUUACAAGGUGGUGAGGGUUCCCUUUAUAUAGGAGGGGAACCUGGCUAUAGUACAACAUGCAUUAUUUUUAGAAUAUGGAGAUGGGACGUCUAGACGCGACGUUUCGGCAUAGGCUCUGGAUAGGCCGGCUUUGUCAGACUUAGCAGCAUGCCUUGGGAACUUCCUCUUUUGUCCUGGCAUCAACCCCCAUCUCCUUUGAGUCGAGUCUUCUUCAUGUCGAGCCUCGACCAACCCUGAGGGAGGGGACUCGGUCGUGGCUCCCCACCUUCCAGGUCUUGAGGCACUCUUACGAAAUGACUUGAUAGCAAGAUAUUAAGUCCUACAAUUUUGCUGCGUAUAGAUAGUCUCCGCAUUUCCUAGAACGAAGUGAUGGGAAAUGAUUGUGACACUUGACUCUUCUAGCUUCUUACAGCGAUGUCGCACCAAUGAUGCAACAUGUGGCGCAAGCUUUCGUCGUGACUGGGGUGUCCCAUGGACUUGUGCAUUUCGACUUCAUUCAAUGCAUUGCCGAUUUCCCAUUCUCCAAGGUGAAUGUACCGUGGUCGAUUUGGUUUUUUAAGAAUGCAGUAACUACAUCCGCCAGUCAAUCUUCCAAGGCUGCGAUGAUCGUGUCGUUACCCCCUAUAAAUGGGGGUGCCUUGGCAUUGUUUUUCCUAUCCUAGUACCUUCAUUGGCUCAUUUUCCCAUUUCUUCCUAUCAUCUUGUUCUAUCUUUGAACAUCAUGCUUGGGGCUCAUGGCCUCAAGGCCGUUUGGCGGAGCUGCCUUACAUUGUGUUGUGGCCUAUUGCCGGGGCUUCCCUUUGUCGAGCAUAACCAUGCCAUCCUACUGCUGCUAUGGUUGCUGCUACAUAUACUGUUGCUAUCGUUGUUGGCCCAAGAUGAUGACAUACGGGAAUCAACUUUCCUUGCUCUCAAAACGCUCUUGGGAUUACAUACCGCUGCUCAAAAGGGGGCUCGGAUUAUACACCGCUGCGCACCUUCAUACCCCAGCUCGAUGUGGUGCUCUGCCCCGAUCUGAUGGCUUGCAUGGCUAGAUGUUCCUAGAAGUGGAAUCCAAGUAGCCGUGCAAGCGGGACCGAGGCUCGCUCGGUCCGCUGUCUAUCCGAGGUUCUCUUGGUUAGCGAGGAUCCUCGACCUUCGGAGAGCUAUGGCAUUUUUUCAUCCCUCCCUACUUCCUACCAUAUCUUUUGGGGAUAUUAGUAUGGAUGUCAGGGAUGAGGCUUCUGAGGAUGUGUGCCCGGUGGCGCCUGUUGCAGGAGGCAGACCUUCGAAGGCAGACCAGUCUUUAGAUUUUUACCUUGCAUGUGUACCCCUUUGGUUUCUUCUUUUAGGCGUAAUAAACCCUUGUGGGCUUUUGUAAUUGUAUGUAGGGUCCCCUCGAGGGCUGUUGUUCAUGGAUGUUUAUGAAUAUGAAGAUACUGUCUUGAUUUCUGUUUUCAAUUUUCACCCUAUUGUUCCAUGUUAUUGUGUGCUUCGAAGCCUUUGAAUGUUUUCCUUUGUUGUUGGCCGCUGACAUCUAACUUGGGUGCGAGCAUUCUAUCUGAUCCUCUGCCGACUAACAGGGCUCUUUUUCGAGGCCAUCGUCCUACACUGGACCAAACCUGAAUUGAUCUGAUAGGCUCGGGCUAUCGGGACCUCCGAGCUGCAUGGAGAUAGUAUGCUGAGUUUUUGGAGCUUUCGAUAGUGGUAUCCUGAGCGAGGAUCGUCUUCGGGUAUCUGGGGGCCUACUCUGAACAUGAUGUAUAUAUCUUUUCAAAGCGUAGUGGAUAGACAUCUAUUGAGGGGUUGCCUUAUGCUUAGGUGUUGCCUCAAGCUUUCCUAGAGCUUUCACGGUCGGAGGUUCGCGCGCUUAUUCUUCUUUUGAGAAAGGGAAACCAUGAGAUCGGGUACAACCUCGAGUUAAAUGAUGGCGUUGAAGGCUUCUCAAAGCCCGACUUCUCUUUUUUGUGGAGAUCCUCGAGGUCGGGCACUACCUCGAGACUGGAGACAAUACAUUUGACUCUUUAAGGCCUAACUUCUUGCCGAUAGAUUCCUCAGGGGUCGGGUACCACUAAAGAAUCUGUAUCGAGGCCGUUGGCCUCUCGGGCUUACUCUAGACAGGUGAAUCGUCUAUGUUUCCUGCAUAUAUAUGUAGUGGCCUUUAUUUCUUUGGGAGAUCUCAUUAUUUUGGAUAGCUAUCCAUCCGCCCUGGCGUUGGGUCCUUCGUCUCUUCAGGCGCAAAAAGAAUUGGAGCACAUUUUGCCUUAGUCUGUCGAUUCUACCAUAGCCAUGGCAACUACUUCAGGGAUAGCCCGGUAGGGAGGUGAGAGUUCCAUACCCAGUGUUCAGGAUUCGCGGGAGUUCCCUCCGAAGAGUGUGUCUUCGAUAAGAGAGAAACAUCUGAAGAUGGUGAGGAGAUACUGCGGAUGGAGCGAGGAGAUGACGUUGCAGGCGUUUUCCCUGGGUGAGAGCAUUACGGACUCUGCUGAUGGAUUCAUGAGUGUGUACCUAUAUCCCUUCGCAUUUGGCCCCCUUGACAGGGCCGUGCGUGAUUUCUGCCUGAAGUAUCGGGUUACUUUAACACAGCUACAUUUGUCGUUUUGGCGAGUGGUGUUGAUGAUGAGGUUCUUUGCGGAGAAGGCUGAGCUUGAGUUCACGCUCAGCCACCUUGUCAGGCUGUAUCGGCCCUUUCACCAUUGAGGCCUGUUAACCUUGCGGUGCCAUUGAUCCACGCCUUUUGUUGUUGAUUAUGAAGAAGGUGAUAACCAAGAGUGGGUCAGUAGAUUCGUCCGGGUCCAGAUGGCUGAAAUUGUCCUAAUGGACCUUAUGUCGUUUCCCGAGGGUUGGAAUUACGCUCGUGAGUGGAAUUCCUGGCGCUUUCUCAUGUUUUGCUUAUAGCAAAAGUCAGUUGAGUAAUUGUUUUUCUCCCCUUUCGCAGCAACUUCAUGGUCGCUGGGCGAAGGUUUCGAUCUGCCUGGCUGAGUCCGGAGGUUGGUGGCCCAUUCGACCUACGACAAGCGUAGGUGGCGAGUUGUGUCUCGUAACAGAUAGGAAGAGAAAUACCAAGGUAUGCGCAUAUGAUGCCUUUACCUUGGUCUUCAUAUAUUUGAGAUGACACUUUCCUUUUUCUUUGACACUGGUAUUGCUGUUGCAGGUAUCGAGCGGCUCCUUGGGGGGGAUGUGCUCUUCCGGAGAGGGGAAGGAGUCGUCGACGUCCGAGCUAAGGGAUGAUGGCGACAAAUGCGAUUCGUACCCACAGUGUGAUGUAGCAUUUAUUGGGGCUUAACGGGCCCGUGUCUCCGAGGAAAAGGCAUCGUCCGAGCCCGCUACUCUCGGAGUGUUUGAUUCCCGGAUGGCAGUUCCUUCGUGUGAGUAUGCUUUGCCCGAGAUUGGUUGCCCUGGGGCCGAAGGGGCAGGAUCAACAAGAGUGUGCUCUGACUUCGAGGAAGUCCACUGGCUUCACUUCAUGGUGAGUUUAGGCGCAGUUCUUCUAUAUUUUGCAUCCUCCUUUUCUUAUCGAGUUUUCCUUUUGCAGUCCUUUGAUAGGCUCAGGUCCGACCUAUUGCAUCAAGGGGCCAAGCUUCGGAAAGCUCUGGAUGAGGGUGAGUCCCUUAGGCUCCUUAGCGAGAAGAAGGAGGUUGAGUUGCUGCAUUGGCGAUAUGAGGCGUACUGGAGCUCGAACUACAAGCGUUAUUUGGUGUAGCCGGUAACCUUUCGUAGUACACGCUUCGCUCUUUUUGACCCUUAAGGUUGACCCCUUUUCCUAUCUUAGCUGUAGAAGAGAAUGGAAACCUUGGAGUACCUUAAGGGCGACACUGACCGCAUCUGGAAUGCUUGCAAUGAGCUAAGGGCUCAGGUUCAAGCUCAAGCUUUAGAGGAGAGAAGUGCCUUGGACAAGGUUCCUUUCUUCGAGGCCCAACUCCACUUGGCUCGCGACAAUACUAUAGUUCAAGAGGAUAUAAUCAGGAAACUCGAGUCUGAUCUCUCGAAGAUCAGGGAUGAGAUAAUCGAUGCCCAGGCUAAAGCAGCAUUAAGCCGAACCAAGGCUGAUCAGGAGAUGGCGAUUCGUAUGAAAGACACUGCUGAUGCCCAAGCCGAGCUGAAGCGAGCCCUCGACCAUGAGAAGAGGAUCAAGGAAUAUGUUCUUUGAAGAUCCCAAAGAGAAGUACUCAAGGAUAUCAGCGCAAGGGGCUUCGUUCUCUCAAAGGAAUUGGCUCGAGCAAGGGCGAACGAGUGUGAUACUUGGUCACUUCUUGCUGAUGUCACAGAGAGUGAAUCUGGGGCUGGCAGGUUGUAGCCCUUUGGAUAGAAGUGUAGAAUUCGCUAUUUUUCCAUUUUUUAUUUAGUACUUGCAGAGCAUAUCUUUAGAUGGAGAAUGCACCUUUUGCAUAUGUAAGAUAAGAGAAGACUUGAAGCUUUGUUUCUUCUGCAUCUCUUUCUAUAUUGCUUUUGACCAGGUGGGCUAGUUUUGGUGCUUGGCGGGAGUCUCAUGGGUCUGGAACUAAUCAGGCAGGCCCGGAGGCUUUUAAGUGCGACUUUUGACAUGAACAGGCGUUGGGGCCCCGUGCUUUGCCCAGUUGUUUAGGCUUAGUCCCCGAGUCAGGCCUUGACUCGAACUUGCCUGAUCUUCAAUCUUCUGUGCCCGUGUGGGCGGAUAGCAAUUGUUUUUAUUUCUUGCCCUUGGGCAUUUGCCGUUUCAACUAUUUUGGGUCCAGUCUCCGAGUUGCGUUGCGUCUCGAGCUUUAAUUGACCCUUAAGUUCUUUCUUGCCUACAUGGGCAGACGACGAUGGCUUUUGUGCUUUACGUUGAAGUGACCUUACAAGUGUGUGGCCCGGAGGCUCAUUUGGCUGGCGACAAUGGCAUUUAUGUCGUGCCCUUAGGCAUAGUGUAGUUAACUAUUUUGGAUCCGAUCUCCGAAUCUGGUUAUGAUUCGAGCUCAUUUUAAUCCUCAAGUUUUCAUUUUUUCGAGGUGGCGAUAGUGGCUUUUAUGCUGUUUGGUCAUUGAUACCUUUUUAGUGUGCAGCCCGGAGGCUCAUUUGGCUGGCGACAAUGGCUCUUACACUUUUGCCCGUGGGGUUUUUUGUAGGCUUUGUUUUCCUCUCGUUAAGGUCUUUUUGAAAUGAUUUUACCUGUCCCAUUGUCGGUUCUGGAAGAACCUCGAUUUCAAGUCGUUAGCGGCAAUGUUCGAGCACCUCGGAAGGUUCAUAGCUCGUAGGCUGAGUAGCUCGAAGCCUUGUGAUUUUGAGCUAACAUGGUCGAAGCUCAUUUUGCCUAUUGAGGGAAGCCUGUUUUAACUGGUUCUUUUCGAAGUAUAUUCGAAUUAAUGGCGUUCGAUUUUGUUAGCGACAGUCGGGCGUCCUUGAGUCGCGUUAAUUUAGCUGGUGCUGCCAUUUUGACCAUAGUCAUAUGUGUUUGGCCGGAGCCAUUAUUGAUCCCGAGUAAUAGUUUAGGCAUCUACACCGAGGGUAUGCCCUUUCGGGAUUCUUACAAAUUUGAUGUAUAGCCUAAACUUCAGGAUUGAGUUUUAUGCUUCUAGUAAGGUCUUACAAAAUUUUCAUGCCUGUUGAGGUCUUACAGUUUGUCAUGCCUAUUGAGGUCUUACAGUUUUUGUCAUGCCUGUUGAGGUCUUACAGUUUUUAUCAUGCUUGUUAAGGUCGUAUAGUUUUUGUUGCUAUGUAAAAUAGAUCAGGUUACACCGAGUCUGCCUGCUCAGGGUCUUAUAGUUUAGGGUUUUCCAGUGCAUGGCGAUUGAUGACAAUCUCUGAGUCAUCGAGUUUGCUUAGGCUCGAAGGCCGUUAUUCGUGAGCUCGGAGUUUCCCCGUUGGGGCCUUAUGAACUCGGAGUUCCGACCCUAGGGUUGUGCGGGUAACAAAUUGUUGACGCUAAGUCUUCGAGUAUUCGGGACGUAUUCGUUGGAGGGAUCCCUGCCGAGAGUAUGCUGAAAUUUCCGUUUUUUGAGCAUGAGAUGUUGAAAGAUAUUCUUUAUUUCUUUGUGUAAAUAUAUAUUGUUUCAUCGUCGUGAGCUCGGCCUGUGUGGGUACGACUCCCUAGGCUGUUUGGUCGAGUACAUGAUUCCCUAUUGAAACUCAGUCUGCCAUUCCCCGGCCCUUCCAAGCGGAUGGUGCCCUCAAAACAAGAUCAUCGCUCGUCAUUUGACUGUAGAAGAAGGCCUGUGAUCUUGUCGGAUCCUCCUCUGGGGGUACGUUGCUCUACUAAUAACCUUGCUGGCGAGACCCUCUUCGGGGCAGAAGUCCGAUCGAGGGGAAAAAGCGCGACGGGUUCUGUUAAGGCCUUGGGAUCUCAGGGUAUAGUUGGAACUUCCGAAUGUUUGUCCGAUUGUCUACAUACAUGUUAGUGAAAAAAUAACAAAGGAGUGAAGUAGUUCUUCCUUACCGCAGGAUGUGUAGUCGACGUUUCGAGGUUUGUUAUGUUCCUGCCAUUUCGGGGUGUGGGCUCUAGUACAGCCCUCCGCUGUGUUUAAUCGAGCUUGGCCGAAGAUGUGGUUCGCUUACCCUUUGACUCUUUCGAGAGUGGAGAUGUUGGUGGUGGUGGUGUGUCAUGUGAUGCGGAAUUUCCUCUUGUCGCGUGUCGCUUCCUGCUGGUGGUUUUAACUCCAUCCUUUGCAUGGAAUUUUUGCCCUUUUGGCGAAGUGGGGACGACCCUAUCUUCGGGCUGUGCGCUCAAGGUUGUCUGAAUAAGGUGGUUGUGCCUUGCACCUCCUUUGAUGACAUGGAACUCAGCAUUCCGGUCUGGGCUGGUCAUGUUGUGCUACGGGGAAUGGUCUUUUCCCCCUUAUUGUAGCGAUGGCCUUUUGGAGUCCGUCAAGGAUUCGAGGGGUUGUUAUAUUUUGACCCGACAGUCCGACAGUUUUGAUCGAGUCACCUGAACUCAUGAGAACAUGUUUUAUCAAAAAUGGAUCGAGUAAGGAAGAAGUUUACCAGUACAUCAUUGUGAUAUCGAGACAAGGUCUUGGUAUCCUCUUUGCUGACUGUAAGGGUGUCCCUUGGGGGUAUGCCCCAAGGCUUGCCUUUCUCUGGUAUGGAGAAAUUUUUCUCUCCUUUUUACAAAUUCUCGGAAAGGGUCGUCGUUCCUCAAUCACCGUGGUGAUGUGCUGUAGCCCGCUUGUUUCGUUCCUCCUGGCUGCCUUUCGUAUAGGGGACCGAACUUAAAUUUGGUCGCUCGUCAGUUCUCGGCGGUGAUUUUUAUGGAGCGUCUUGGUGUCUUUUCUUCGGAGCUGGUGGCUACAUUCGGCCUUGCCGCUGCACUUGCUAUGUAGUUCCCGCGCUAAGAUACAAUUUCUUUGGAGGAAUUCGAUCGAAUUGGUCCAAGCCAUUUGACGCCUCUGGUUUCGCCUAUGGCAAGCAUGAUGGUUGGUAUAGCAAUGUAGAAAUUGUACUCUGGUGGGUGAGGUGCCCUUGUCGGCCAUGCAUCCUCGUUGACUCUGGUUUUGUUAACGAUUCUUUGAGGAUAUUGCCCUCGAGCUAUUCUUCGGUCGUUGUGAGGCAGAUUGCAUCCUGUCUGCGAAGCACAGGCGGUACCUCGCUUUGUUUGGUUUAUUUGUCAAGAUCUUGUUUGGGUAAGUUGAGCCCGAGGAGGCUCUCGGAUGGGCAUCAAUGACCCUGGUUUGCGACUGAGGCCGGGUACGGGCAUCUGACCAGGUCUUGACUGGGUGCCUGAUCAAGCUUUGUUUGAACUGCCCUGAAAUCAUCGGGCUUGGUUUGUUGAGGCUUUGAGUGAAGGCCUGUAUUGCCCAGUCAUCGGAGACCGGGGUAAUUCCGUUUGUUCUAUUGGGGAACGUGGUGCAAUUCCCCGUAGCAUUUUAGUCUCCCUUCACUCGGCCCUGGAUGCGUCGGGCUUUCUCGUCGUCGUUUCGAUAGCGCUGGCGUAUGCCUUUAUGAAGGAGUCUGAUGGUACAGUAGAUGAGUUUAUGGGACUGGGCGCUAGGUUGUGAUGCCACAUCAUGGUCCCGUUCAAGAAUGUUUCCACGAACGUCUUCAAUAAGAAGGGCUCGAUCUCAUAAUUUUUUGGGUCGUUGCCUUUUCUUGCGCACGUAUAGGCGGUGAUGUGUUCGUUGGGAUCUGGGGUCCCGUUGUACAUAGGGAGCUUUGGCGUUCCGGACUUCUGUGAAAUAGGUUCAGGGGCCACUUCCUUGGGGAAUGGUUGUCGCAUGAACUUCCAUGAACCUGAUUCAACCCUUUUGGAGAGAUCCCCAAGCUUCUUUGCUAUGGAAGGGUCGACUACCGAUCCGUUAUUGCUUGACCUCUCGGGCAUUUUCUUGGCGGCGGGAGCCAUUUCCGGUGCUGCUGUGCUGGGAGUCUCCGGGUGGCUUUGUAACUGAUCAAUGGCCAAUUGUUGUGCCUGAAACAUUUCAAAAAUAACAUGAAGACUAACUUUUUGUUCUUCCCAAGAUGGGGUUCUUUGGGCUUCCUAUCAGUUGCUAUACCGUACGCUCCUAUCGGUGUAUGAUGUUUCGCCAACCUGUUAUGCAUCAUGUGAACCCGCAUCUGCUGGAAUUAGUCAGGGCGCGUCAUUGGGAUUUUGUAGUUGCGUUCCGGCAGCCAGAAUAGCCAUGCCGUUUUCCACUGGUUUUCGAGGUUGUCAUUCUCGAAUCUGUUCACCGAGCCAGACAUUUUGACCUAAAAUCUAGAGAUCUUGGACAAGAAAAAGUGUGAAAGAUAACUUGCGUUUUUUGGGAUGGAACUAGCAAGAAAAUAAUCACUAUUAGUUUUAGCUCCAUGGUGGGCGCCAAACUAUUUAUCGUGAAAAUGGUAACAACAAUUAAAUUUGUAAAUGGGAUUCUAAAAAUACGUGAUCUAUUUUUAUGCUAGAUUUUAGAGCAGAUGAUGCUAGGAAUAAGAAGUUUAACAAUGCAAUGCAAGCUGAAACGAGGCAGCAAUCAAACCGAGGGGCUUACUGCCCUGGUUUCGGACUGGUUGAUGGAGAACCUCGGGGUCGAUACCUGGGCUCGAUCUCGAGCUAUCGGAAGUAGUCGGGAAUGGGAUAACAAUUAAGAUACAAUCAAAUAAAGCUCUUUAUGGCCAACACCAAGCAAUAAAUGAAGAAUAAGUGGGAGAAAAGUGAAUGAUAAAGUGGCCUCGAGCUAGUAAGAACAAGCGAGUUAGAGAGAAAAGAGAGAGAGAGAUAUAUUAUUGAUCUUGGGGAGAAAUAGUUGGAGUAACAUCAACCUUUUACAAGGUGGUGAGGGUUCCCUUUAUAUAGGAGAGGAACCUGGCUAUAGUACAACAUGCAUUAAUUGUAGAAUGUGGAGAUGGGAUGGCUAAACGCGACGUUUUCGCAUAGGCUCUAGAUAGGCCGGCUUUGUCAAACUUAGUCGCGUGACUUGGGAACUUCCUCUUCAGUCCUGGCCUCGACCUCCAUCUCCUUUGAGUUGAGUCUUCUUCGAGUCGAGCCUCGACGAGCCCCGAGGGAGGGGACUCGGUCGUGGCUCCCCGCCUUUGGGGUCUCGAGGCAUUCUUCCGAAAUGACUUGAUAGCAAGAAAUUAAGUCUUCCAAUUUCGCCGCGUACAGUGUCCACAAUUAAUAACACUUUGUUUUUAUUGAGAAAGUUUGGUCGAAGUUGCGUGAACGCAUACCUCGAUUUAUUUUGGAACCUAUAAUUAUGCCACUCAAAUGUCAAAAAUACAUACUACUAUGAAUCUAUAUAGUCAAAAAUACAAAUAAAAGUAAAAUGAAGUACAUCACAUUUCAACUAAUCAAACCAAUUAUUUUCAGUUGUAAAUGUCUAGGUAUGAGCUUCUAAUACCUUACUAUUUCAUUGCCAUGCUACUUUAAUUUUGCAGUGUUAGCUUGUCACCUUUCUUCUCCAAAUAGUAAAUUCUUAAGCCACGAGUAAGAGAAAAUGGAUCUCCCACAACACAUUCAAACAAGAUUUCACUGCUAAGGCACUUCAACAUUUCCAACAGGUAAUAAAAAAAUAAUCAUUUAUAGAACCCAACCAAAAAUAUGACUUGUAACAAUAAUAAGAAUAAAGAUGUACCUUAGGAAGAAUUUUACUUUUGAGCUUUAUAGUAGGUGAAUCCAAAAGCAAAUCAGAAACCAAGUAUGGGACCUCGAUGAAACGAAAUUUUAUCGGACACCAAAGCUCGACCUCGACGGAAAAUGGUUACCUAAUGUCACUAGUUGUUGAAACAAAUUAAUAAUGCCAAGUAAAUACCAGAGAAGAGAGAUCGGCAGACUCGGCAAUAAGGCAGCAAACAACCAACUUCAAUCCCAGGUGAAAACUAGCUUCAAACCUCGAAGAACUCAUACUCAAACUUCAAUCCAACUCUAACUUUGAAAAUUGAAACAAAGUGAAGAAGAGAGGUCAGAAGAAAAUGUCGAUAUUAAUAAUUUAUCUGAACUCCAAUGCCUCUAUUUCGUUCUAUGUCCUUUAUCUAUUUUUUUUUUGGACGGGAUUUGUCCGUUCAUAUUGAACAUAACCUGAGAUAAGGGAAGUCCAAGAAACAAUGUUUUUUUGCGGCUGAUUUUUGAAGGUUAGAGAUCAUAGGUCUGUUCUUUGUGUGCUAGGUUUUAAGGUGUUCAAAAAUCAGGGAAGACAGUUGAGAGUUGCUCUUCAAAAUUCAGAUAAUGGAGAUCGACUGAUCGUUUGAAGUGGAGGGAUCUAGGUGUUUCGGUGUUUGUUCGCUGCUCAAAGUGUGGAGAAGAUCGAGCUCAACAACUGAGGGGUCUACUGUGUAUUGCGGGUGCUGCUGCUCUGCGUUCAAAGAGAUGAGAGCCUCUGUUCGUGUGGAUUUUACUGGAUAUGAAGAAAGGGGGAUGGGGGUAAGAUGAAGAAGAAGAUGUUUAGGGAGGUGGUUCUCUUGUAAAACGGCUGAUAGGUCCCUUAGUCUUUUAGAGUCUAUUUUUUGUGUAUUUUUCAG
rnacentral:lncRNA from 1 species